GGAGUAAGUUCCAAACGAUAGACAACUAAAUUUUCAGUUUAUUUUUGGAAAUAAAAUAAAACAAUAAUUAAAUUCAUCAAUGUAAAAAAAAAAAAAAAAUACUAUUAAAAAUUCCCCUUGAAUACUUGGACCACAUUUUGCCGCGGGUUUCGGUCUGUAUCUUCUGUGGUGAGAUCAUUGUGGCUCUUGGAUUCAAGACCGCCCUUUGGAUGUAACUCAAAACUGGAACUCUUCCUCGGGUGUAAACUCA